AACGAACGCUGGCGGCAGGCUUAACACAUGCAAGUCGAGCGCCCCGCAGGGGGAGCGGCAGACGGGUGAGUAACGCAUGGGAAUCUACCCAUCCCUACGGAAUAGCUCCGGGAAACUGGAAUUAAUACCGUAUACGCCCUACGGGGGAAAGAUUUAUCGGGGAUGGAUGAGCCCGCGUUGGAUUAGCUAGUUGGUGGGGUAAAGGCCUACCAAGGCGACGAUCCAUAGCUGGUCUGAGAGGAUGAUCAGCCACAUUGGGACUGAGACACGGCCAAAACUCCUACGGGAGGCAGCAGUGGGGAAUAUUGGACAAUGUGGGCAACCCUGAUCCAGCCAUGCCGCGUGAGUGAUGAAGGCCUUAGGGUUGUAAAGCUCUUUCACCGGGGAAGAUAAUGACGGUACCCGGAGAAGAAGCCCCGGCUAACUUCGUGCCAGCCGCCGCAGUAA
rnacentral:rRNA from 1 species